rnacentral:lncRNA from 1 species
AUUAGUCAUUAAUGAGCCGUUAAUUAAGCCCUAAUGGGUCUCAGGGGGGUGUUAUGGGGUGGUUUGGGGAGGAUUUAUGGGGUCAAAUCCGUCAGCCUGCACCACCCCCAGCUUAUAGUAUGGCCAGAGCUCUCCUUGCAGGUGGGUCGUUAGUUAAUUAGUCAUUAAUGAGCCGUUAAUUAAGUCCUGUUAGGAGGUGGCCUGAGGGUUUAUGGGGUCUGUUCUGUGGGAUUUCAGGUCCCUUUUAUGCAUUUGGGGCCCAUUUUGGGGCCGUUUUGUGGGAUUUUGGGCCCAUUUUGUGGGAUUUUGGGGCAUUGUAUGGGAUUUUGAAGUCCUUGGGAUUUCGGGGCCUUUUUAUGGGAUUUUUGGGGCCAUUCUGUGGGAUUUUGAAGUCGAUCCAUGGGGUUUUGGGUCCGUUCUUUGGUUUUUUGGUCCUUUUUGUGGGAUUUUGAAGCCAGUCCAUAGGAUUUUGGGCCAUUUUGUGGGAUUUUGGGGUCGUUCUGUGAGAUUUGGGGUCCAUUCUAUGGGAUUUGGGGCCUUUCUAUGGGAUUUUGAAGUCGAUCCAUGGGGUUUUGGGUCCGUUCUGUGGGUUUUUGGGUCCAUUUUGGGGGAUUUUGGAGUCAAUCCAUGGGAUUUGGGGUCCAUUCCUUGGGAUUUUGAGGGCAAUCAUUGGGGUUUUGGGUCCGUUCUGUGGGAUUUGGGGCCAUUCUGUGGGAUUUUGACUCAUUUUUAUGCAUUUUUGGGACAUUCUGCAUCCAUUCUGGGGGAUUUUGGGGUCAAUCCAUGGGAUUUUGGGUUCGUUGUAUGGGAUUUUGGAGUCAAUCCAUGGGAUUUUGGCCUCAUCGUAUGGGAUUUUGGCUCCAUUCCUUGGGAUUUUGGAGUCAAUCCACGGGAGCUCGGGUCUAUUCCUUGGGAUUGGGACUUUGGCCCCACUCUCCAUGAUUUCCCCACAUUUCCCCCCCAUUCCACCCCAUUUCCUCACCUCCCCCCUGCUGUAGCCCCCAGCGUUUCCCAUUUUCAGCCCUUUUAACCCAUUUCUUCCCCCUUUCCCACCCCAGUUCUACCUGAGGGAGGCCGACGUGGGGCAGAACCGAGCCGAGGCGACGCUGCCCAGGCUGGCGGAGCUCAACGCCUACGUGGGGGUCAGCAGCAGCACGGAGCCCCUGAGCGAGGAGCUCCUGCAGCCCUUCCAGGUACCUGAACGGCCCCAUAGAAACCCCAUAACGGCCCCAUAGGGACCCCAUAGUGUGAGCCACAGUGUGACCCCAUAACUGCCCCAUAGAGACCCUAUAAAGACCCCAUAGAGACCCCAUAGCAGCACGGAGCCCCCGAGCGAGGAGCUCCUGCAGCCCUUCCAGGUACCAUAGAGACCCCAUAGAAACCCCAUAACGGCCCCAUAGGGACCCCAUAGUGUCACCCCACAGUGUGACCCCAUAACUGCCCCAUAGAGACCCUAUAGAGACCCCAUAG